UCAUAAAGUCUUCAAAAAAGAAUAGAUAUGAUUGCAUUGCAUGUAGUAACACAUGCGAUCAUACCAGCACUAAUGCACCGGAUCCCAUCAGAACUCCGCAGUUAAGUGUGCUUGGGCGAGAGUAGUACUAGGAUGGGUGACCUCCAGGAAAGUCCUCGUGUUGCAUCCCUC
rnacentral:rRNA from 1 species